AGGAGUGUCAUGAUCGACAACAUUGACAAAGUGUUGCAGAGGGGAGAUCGGCUGGCGCUGCUAGUUGAAAAAACUUCCACAUUGCAAGGAAAUACAAUUCGCUUUCGGCGACAGACUCAGCGUUUCAGAAAUACACAGUGGUGGAGAAAUUUCAAGCUCAAGGCUACAUUGAUACUAUUUCUCUUGAUUUUCAUUUAUACUGUACUCGCAUUGUUUUGUCACGGCCCUUCACUUCAUUCCUGCUUGAAGUAGAAACGCACAAGAUCAGCUGCUGCUGCUGCUGGAUGGCUUAUUAUUACAUAUUCAUGGGUUUGUCCUACUUCUUUCACUUUGUAAUUCUUUUAUUCAAAUGAAAUUCAGUGUUGUAAUUUUCGAGCAAUCCUCAGGAGAUUCAAAUCUCUUGUACAUGUACAAAGGAUUCAAAAGAAAUCCUGACACAUAAGUAAGCGUGCAUGUACUCUGUUACUCUGUUCCAACAUUUUAAUGCAGGGAGUUGAACUGAAA